UACGUAGGAGGCAAGCGUUGUCCGGAAUUACUGGGCGUAAAGCGCGUGUAGGUGGUGGGACAAGUCUGCUGUGAAAGCGCCUGGCUUAACCGGGCGAGGUCGGCGGAAACUGUCCGACUCGAGGACGGUAGAGGGGGGUGGAAUUCCCGGUGUAGUGGUGAAAUGCGCAGAUAUCAGGAGGAACACCAAUGGCGAAGGCAGCUCGCUGGGACGUGACUGACGCUGAGACGCGAAAGCGUGGGGGAGCAAACAGG
rnacentral:rRNA from 1 species